GAUGAACGCUGGCGGUGUGCCUAACACAUGCAAGUCGAGCGACCACACGAUGAGCUUGUUCUCUUGCCGUUAGCGGCGGACGGGCGAGUAACAAGUGGAUCACCUUCUUCUUAGUCUGGGAUAAUUACGGGAAACCGGUGCCACUAAUGGCUCAUACAUCGUACGGGUUGGUUCAAUAGUGCAUGACGGCUUUGCCGUUUCAUUUAGCUGGUUCCGCGUCGCAUUAGCUAGUUGGUAAGGUAACGGCUAACCAAGGCGACGAUGCGUAGCCGACCUGAGAGGAUGAUCAGCCACACUGGAACUGAGACACGGUCCAGACUCCUACGGGAGGCAGCAGUAGGGAAUCUUGGACAAUGGGCGCAAGCCUGACGGAGCAAUACCGCGUGAGUGAUGAAGGUCUUCGGGUCGUAAAGCUCUGUUGUUGGGAAAGAACAGAAGUAUGUUAAUAUAUGCACGUCUUGACGGUACCUAAUGGAAAAGCCACGGCUAACUACGUG
rnacentral:rRNA from 1 species